UUUUCUCCGUAUGUUUCUUUCUCUUUGUGAUGAAAAAAAUCCAAGAGGUACUUGUGUACAAAGCUGUGUACUUGGAAUAUUUCCUACCAUGAUUCUUAUAAAUUAAACAUAUGUAUGUGAAGCCAGUGGGUUUUUUAGGAAUAGGGACUGUGACUUAAUGGCCUACAUCCCCAGUGACAUGUGGAGUCUUUAUGCCUGACACAGCACAUACUCAAGAAAGUAACUAGAGACUGGGGUUUUUAGGAUAACAAAUCCAAGGCCAGGAUAGAAAGGAGAGUCGGAUAGAGUACAAGGUCUGCCAGGGAGCAGGGUGAAUAAACCAAAGAGAAAAGAUAGUGCUUUGGGCCUGGGCCCGAAACUAUAUAUACUUAUGUUUACAGCUCAGAACCAAAAAUACAGUACAAAGAAGCUUAGCUUUUCUGUCACUAUGCUAUGACUUACCAGACUUCAUGAAGCUGCAGUUACUUUGAACAUGAGGGGCUAAUGCUAGUGGAUUUGCAGCACCAAAUGCACCUCACCACGUGGCUUUUGUAGAAGGGAACUUUGCAGACUGCUGUGGAAUGAUUUAAGGGUGCGAAUUGCCUGGAGGGGGACAAAGUAAAGUCAGAUGCAACUUGAUAGGAUGCCCUGAGAAGAUCGCUCCUGCCAGAAGGAGCAUAACCUGAAUCUAGUCAGGAGGAUUUAUCAAGCAAAACUAACUAAAGAUGGUUUCUACUUUAUCUUUUAAGAACUUGUGAAGACUUUGUCCCUGUAUGGAAAGCUGGGAUGUGAGCUUCCACAGACUUUGGUGUCGUCUGUAAAGCAGCACACAGAAACCAGUGAGUGAGCCCACAACCUACUCUGUGAGUGGGGCAAGCUGGGUUCCAUCUCUUCUUUGGGGGAACCUCUGCAGCCACUAGAGGUGAAUGAAGAAGCCUCCGGAUGAUAGAAGUCCUGGCCACCAUCUCAUAGAGAACCACCUACCUUGCUCUAUUCCACCUGCAGAAAUUAGAGAUUUGACA